GGGGGCUGCUGAUGGCCGGCGGCGGUGUGUGGCUGUGCAGUGAUUGGCUCUUGCAGCGGCUGAAUCUGCAUGUGUUGCGGGUGCUGCACGCUGGCGCCGGCAGCAGGGCCCUGCUGCAUCCCCAACUGAGGCGGCUGCUGCUGCUGCUGCACAUUAAAUGCAGAUGGUCUCUGAGUACCCAUCCUCAGCGGCAUGUUGGCAGUUGGUUGAGUACUCGUCAGUGGCACAUUGGGUUGGUUGCUCAUGACUGGCAUGUUGGCCCCCGGAAUUUGGCCGGCCCUCAAUGGCACAAUGCCUGU
rnacentral:lncRNA from 1 species